rnacentral:rRNA from 1 species
AGAAUCAACGCUGGCGGCGUGCCUAACACAUGCAAGUCGAACGAGAAAGUGGGAGCAAUCCCACGAGUAAAGUGGCGCACGGGUGAGUAACACGUGACUAACCUACCCUUGAGUGGGGGAUAACCUAGGGAAACCUGGGCUAAUACCGCAUAAUACCUACGGGUCAAAGGAGCAAUUCGCUUAAGGAGGGGGUCGCGGCAGAUUAGUUAGUUGGCGGGGUAAUGGCCCGCCAAGACAGUGAUCUGUA